rnacentral:lncRNA from 1 species
GACUUGGAAAUCCUGAGAGCUGCGCAAACAUUUCCUGCAGCUCAGCAUCUCCUGGCGCCCGGCAGGUUUUGGGGCAGACAGAAAUACCGGCUGCAAGCUGUCCCUGCUUUCUGGGCUGGAAUUGUAUCUCCAGCGGCUGCCAGCCCUCCUCCUCCUCCUCAGAAACCUGCUCUUCGUUGGGCAAAAUGUCAGGCAUUAGAAAAAACAAAACGAGGAGAGGCAUCCAGGGAAAAAGCGGAGCUGCCGUUGUCGGGGAAACCAGCGCGGUGUGUGCAGCAGGGGAUUUGUUCUGAGCGCCUCCGAGCAGCUCUGCUCCCCCAGCACAGCCCAGGGGCUGCAUCCCACCCUGCAUCCUGCUCCCCAAAUCCGGGGAGAUCCCCCAAAAUCCCGGGGCCAAAGGAGCCGCGAGCUCGGCGCCUCCAGCCUUUGCUCAGGGAGCAGCCGCAGUUCUGUGCAGCUUGGGCUGGUCUCGCAAAGCUCAGCUCAGAGCAAAAUCCCAGCUUGGGCUGGUCUUGCAAAGCUCAGCUCAGAGGAAGACUCCAGCCUUUGGUCCCACAAAGCUCAGCUCAGAGCAAAACCCCAGCCUGGGCUGGUCUCGCAAAACUCAGCUCAGAGCAAAACCCCAGCUUGGGCUGGUCCCACAAAGCUCAGCUCAGAGCAAAACCCCAGCCUGGGCUGGUUCCACAAAGCUCAGCUCAGAGCAAAACCCCAGUCUGGGCUGGUCUCGCAAAGCUCAGCUCAGAGGGAGACUCCAGCCUUUGGUUCCACAAAGCUCAGCUCAGAGCAAAACUGCAAAACUCAGCUCAGAGCAAAACCCCAGCCUGGACUGGUCCCGCAAAGCUCAGCUCAGAGGGACCCCAGCCUGGGCCCAGAAUCCCAGUUCCAGCCAUGAUCCCAUGGAAUUCAUGCCUUGGGAGGGAACAAAUGUCCAAAUUGGACAAUUCCAGUAGGAAACUGCUCCCCCAGGGCAGGGCUCAGCUGGACAUUUCCCUUAAGGUUUUGCUCCCUGGUUUUUCUUCCCUUUGGCUAAAGCAGUUCUUCUUUGCUGAUCUCACUAUUUGA